rnacentral:rRNA from 1 species
UACGUAGGAGGCGAGCGUUGUCCGGAGUUACUGGGCGUAAAGGGUGCGCAGGCGGCGGUGCUGGCCCGGCGUGAAAGCCCCCGGCUCAACCGGGGAGGGUCGUCGGGGACCGCACCGCUUGAGGGCGGUAGGGGCUGGUGGAAUGCCUGGUGUAGUGGUGAAAUGCGUAGAGAUCAGGCGGAACACCCGUGGCGAAGGCGGCCAGCUGGGCCGUCCCUGACGCUGAGGCGCGAAGGCGUGGGGAGCGAACGGG